GAAAUGCGAUACGUAAUGUGAAUUGCAGAAUUCAGUGAAUCAUCGAAUCUUUGAACGCACCUUGCGCCCCUUGGUAUUCCGAAGGGCACACCCGUUUGAGUGUCGUGAAGUUCUCAACCUUUCUUCAUUUGAAGAAAGGCUUGGACUUUGGAGGUUUUUGCUGGACUCUCUUGAUGGGAGAUCAGCUCCUCUUAAAUGGAUUAGUAGGAACCCUUCUGUGCUGGGUCCUCGACGUGAUAAGGCUUUUCUACGUCUGGAUCUUUUUAGCCAUAAAGGCCUGCUUACAAUCGUCUCUCGAGACAAAUCACAUGUGAACCCCUUUGACCUCAAAUCGGGUGAGACUACCCGCUGAACUUAA
rnacentral:rRNA from 1 species